rnacentral:rRNA from 1 species
CAGCCGCCACGGGAAUACGUAGGUGGCAAGCGUUGUCCGGAAUUAUUGGGCGUAAAGGGCUCGCAGGCGGUUUCUUAAGUCUGGUGUGAAAGCCCCCGGCUCAACCGGGGAGGGUCAUUGGAAACUGGGAAACUUGAGUGCAGAAGAGGAGAGUGGAAUUCCACGUGUAGCGGUGAAAUGCGUAGAGAUGUGGAGGAACACCAGUGGCGAAGGCGACUCUCUGGUCUGUAACUGACGCUGAGGAGCGAAAGCGUGGGGAGCGAACAGGAUUAGAUACCCCCGUAGUCCCUGUCUCUUAUAC